AGAGUUUGAUCCUGGCUCAGGAUGAACGCUAGCGGCAGGCUUAACACAUGCAAGUCGAGGGGCAGCGGGGAGGAAGCUUGCUUUCUCCGCCGGCGACCGGCGCACGGGUGAGUAACACGUAUGCAACCUGCCCCUGUCAGGGGGACAACCCGCCGAAAGGCGGGCUAAACCCGCGUACAUGCCACCGGGGCAUCCCGGAGGCAGGAAAGGCUUCGGCCGGACAGGGAUGGGCAUGCGGCGCAUUAGGCAGUAGGCGGGGUAACGGCCCACCUAACCGACGAUGCGUAGGGGUUCUGAGAGGAAGGUCCCCCACACUGGUACUGAGACACGGACCAGACUCCUACGGGAGGCAGCAGUGAGGAAUAUUGGUCAGUGGUCGGGAGACUGAACCAGCCAAGCCGCGUGAGGGAGGAAGGUACAGAGUAUCGUAAACCUCUUUUGUCAGGGAACAAAGGCGGGGACGUGUCCCCGGAUGAGUGUACCUGAAGAAAAAGCAUCGGCUAACUCCGUGCCAGCAGCCGCGGUAAUACGGAGGAUGCGAGCGUUAUCCGGAUUUAUUGGGUUUAAAGGGUGCGCAGGCGGUCUGUUAAGUCAGCGGUCAAAGCCCGGGGCUCAACCCCGGCCCGCCGUUGAAACUGGCAGUCUCGAGUUGGAGAGAAGUAUGCGGAAUGCGCGGUGUAGCGGUGAAAUGCAUAGAUAUCGCGCAGAACUCCGAUUGCGAAGGCAGCAUGCCGGCUCCACACUGACGCUGAGGCACGAAAGCGUGGGUAUCGAACAGGAUUAGAUACCCUGGUAGUCCACGCAGUAAACGAUGAAUGCUGGCUGUCCGGGGGGAUUGACCCCUGGGUGGCGAAGCGAAAGCGAUAAGCAUUCCACCUGGGGAGUACGCCGGCAACGGUGAAACUCAAAGGAAUUGACGGGGGCCCGCACAAGCGGAGGAACAUGUGGUUUAAUUCGAUGAUACGCGAGGAACCUUACCCGGGCUCAAACGGGGAGUGACUCAGGCAGAGACGCCUGUUUCCCACGGGACACUCCCCGAGGUGCUGCAUGGUUGUCGUCAGCUCGUGCCGUGAGGUGUCGGCUUAAGUGCCAUAACGAGCGCAACCCCCGCGUGCAGUUGCUAACAGAUAACGCUGAGGACUCUGCACGGACUGCCGGCGCAAGCCGCGAGGAAGGCGGGGAUGACGUCAAAUCAGCACGGCCCUUACGUCCGGGGCGACACACGUGUUACAAUGGGUGGUACAGCGGGAAGCCAGGCGGCGACGCCGAGCGGAACCCGAAAUCCACUAUCAGUUCGGAUCGGAGUCUGCAACCCGACUCCGUGAAGCUGGAUUCGCUAGUAAUCGCGCAUCAGCCAUGGCGCGGUGAAUACGUUCCCGGGCCUUGCACACACCGCCCGUCA
rnacentral:rRNA from 1 species